AACCAGCCAUGCCGCGUGCAGGAAGACGGCUCUAUGAGUUGUAAACUGCUUUUAUAUAGGGAUAAACCCGUCUACGUGUAGACGGUUGGAGGUACUAUAUGAAUAAGGAUCGGCUAACUCCGUGCCAGCAGCCGCGGUAAUACGGAGGAUCCAAGCGUUAUCCGGAUUUAUUGGGUUUAAAGGGUGCGUAGGCGGCACAGUAAGUUAGAGGUGAAAUCCGGAGGCUCAACCUUCGAACUGCCUCUAAAACUGCUGAGCUAGAGAUUGGAUGCUGUGGGCGGAAUGUGUAGUGUAGCGGUGAAAUGCUUAGAGAUUACACAGAACACCGAUUGCGAAGGCAGCUCACAAAUCCACUUCUGACGUUGAGGCACGAAAGCGUGGGUAGCAAACAGGAUUAGAUACCCUGGUAGUCCACGCAGUAAACGAUGAUAGCUCGUUGUCGGCGAUACACAGUCGGUGACUUAGCGAAAGCGUUAAGCUAUCCACCUGGGGAGUACGUUCGCAAGAAUGAAACUCAAAGGAAUUGACGGGGGCCCGCACAAGCGGAGGAACAUGUGGUUUAAUUCGAUGAUACGCGAGGAACCUUACCCGGGCUUGAAAGUUAGUGACGGAUGCCGAAAGGUGUCUUCCCUUCGGGGCACGAAACUAGGUGCUGCAUGGUUGUCGUCAGCUCGUGCCGUGAGGUGUCGGGUUAAGUCCCAUAACGAGCGCAACCCCUGCCGUUAGUUGCCAUCAGGUCAAGCUGGGCACUCUAACGGGACUGCCGGUGUAAGCCGAGAGGAAGGUGGGGAUGACGUCAAAUCAGCACGGCCCUUACGUCCGGGGCGACACACGUGUUACAAUGGUCGGUACAGAGGGCAGCUACCCCGCGAGGGGAUGCGAAUCUCGAAAGCCGAUCUCAGUUCGGAUCGGAGGCUGAAACUCGCCUCCGUGAAGUUGGAUUCGCUAGUAAUCGCGCAUCA
rnacentral:rRNA from 1 species